rnacentral:rRNA from 1 species
GUGGGGAAUAUUGGGCAAUGGGGGAAACCCUGACCCAGCGACGUCGCGUGAGUGAAGAAAUCCCUCGGGAUGUAAAGCUCUGUUGUACGGGAAGAGAAGCAGACGGUACCGUACGAGGAAGCCCCGGCAAACUACGUGCCAGCAGCCGCGGUAAUACGUAGGGGGCAAGCGUUGUCCGGAAUUACUGGGCGUAAAGCGCACGCAGGCUGAAUUAUAAGUCGGUAGUCAAAUACGGAGGCUCAACUUCCGGAUAUCUAUCGAUACUGUAAAUCUAGAGUAUGUGAGAGGGCAGCGGUAUUCCCGGUGUAGCGGUGAAAUGCGUAGAUAUCGGGAGGAACACCAGUGGCGAAGGCGGCUUCCUGGCACAAUACUGACGCUCAUGUGCGAAAGCUAGGGCAGCGAACGGGAUUAGAUACCCGUGUAGUCC